rnacentral:rRNA from 1 species
AAUAUUGGACAAUGGGGGCAACCCUGAUCCAGCCAUGCCGCGUUUGUGAAGAAGGUCUUCGGGUUGUAAAGCCCUUUAAUAUGGGAGGAAGGGCUUUAGGCUAAUACCCUGAAGUUUUGUCGUUACCGACAGAAUAAGCACCGGCUAACUCUGUGCCAGCAGCCGCGGUAAUACAGAGGGUGCAAGCGUUAAUAGGAAUUACUGGGCGUAAAGCGCGAGUAGGUGGUUCAGUAAGAUGGGUGUGAAAUCCCCGGGCUUAACAUGGGAACUGCUUUCAUAACUGCUGAGCUAGAGUACGGUAGAGGGUAGUGGAAUUUCCUGUGUAGCGGUGAAAUGCGUAGAUAUAGGAAGGAACACCAGUGGCGAAGGCGACUACCUGGACUGAUACUGACACUGAGGUGCGAAAGCGUGGGGAGCAAAC